rnacentral:rRNA from 1 species
AGUCGAGGGGUAACAGGGGUAGCAAUACCUGCUGACGACCGCCGUAAAGGUGAGUAACGCGUAUGCAACCUGCCCUAUACAGCUGGAUAGCCCGGAGAAAUUCGGAUUAAUACUCCAUGUAGCAUUUUUUUCGCAUGAAUUAGAUGUUAAAGAUUUAUCGGUAUAGGAUGGGCAUGCGUCCCAUUAGCUAGUUGGUGAGGUAACGGCUCACCAAGGCAUCGAUGGGUAUGGGGUCUUAAAGGAUGGUCCCACACACUGGCACUGAGACACGGGCCAGACUCCUACGGGAGGCAGCAGUGAGGAAUAUUGGUCAAUGGGUGAGAGCCUGAACCAGCCAUCCCGCGUGCAGGAUGACGGUCCUAGUGAUUGUAAACUGCUUUUCUAUGAGAUGAAUAAGAAUUACGUGUAGUUCGAUGACCGUAUUAUAGGAAUAAGCAUCGGCUAACUCCGUGCCAGCAGCCGCGGUAAUACGGAGGAUGCAAGCGUUAUCCGGAUUUAUUAGGUUUAAAGGGUGCGUAGGUGGGCGUUUAAGUCAGUGGUUAAAGCCAUUAGCUUAACUAAUGUAUGCCAUUGAUACUGGAUGUCUUGAAUGUGGUAGAGGUAGGCGGAAUGUGUUGUGUAGCGGUGAAAUGCUUAGAUAUAACACAGAACACCGAUUGCGAAGGCAGCUUACUAUUCCAUUAUUGACGCUGAUGCACGAAAGCGUGGGGAUCAAACAGGAUUAGAUACCCUGGUAGUCCACGCCGUAAACGAUGGAUACUAGGUGUAGGAGGUAUCGACCCCUUCUGUGCCGGAGUUAACACAAUAAGUAUCCCACCUGGGGAGUACGGCCGCAAGGCUGAAACUCAAAGGAAUUGACGGGGGCCCGCACAAGCAGUGGAGUAUGUGGUUUAAUUCGAAGCAACGCGAAGAACCUUACCAGGGCUUGACAUCCCUCUGACAGGUAUAGAGAUAUACUUUCUUUUCGAAGCAGAGGAGACAGGUGGUGCAUGGUUGUCGUCAGCUCGUGUCGUGAGAUGUUGGGUUAAGUCCCGCAACGAGCGCAACCCCUGUUGUUAGUUGCCAUCAUUAAGUUGGGCACUCUAACGAGACUGCCGGUGACAAAUCGGAGGAAGGUGGGGACGACGUCAAAUCAUCAUGCCCCUUAUGUCCUGGGCUACACACGUACUACAAUGGCGGUGACAAAGGGAAGCAAGACCGCGAGGUGGAGCAAAUCCCCAAAAGCCGUCCCAGUUCGGAUUGUGGGCUGCAAUUCGCCCAUAUGAAGUCGGAGUUGCUAGUAAUCGUGAAUCAGAAUGUCGCGGUGAAUGCGUUCCCGGGUCUUGUACACACCGCCCGUCACACCACGGAAGUCGGAAGCACCCGAAGCCAGCUACUUAACCGUAAGGAUGGGGCU